CUCUCGGGAGACAUUUGCAAGAGGAAAGAAUGGAGCCUUGUGUGCUGGGCCCGGCUAUUUGAUCUGGGGCUUCCUCCUGCUUCCACCACCCCUAUGCCACUAAGGAAGAACCUAGGCAGAAGGACGGUGGGCUGUGCUACCUUGCCUACUCAGGCUUUUUAGUGAGGAACCCAGUGUGUGGGGUCCUGAUGCCAUCUUGCAGGACCAGAACAAACCAUUUUGCUGCUCCAAGGAGCUGUUCUGGGGGUGUAACUCCAGUGCUGCAGAGGUGUGACUCUGGAAAGCUGUGUCUUCAGCACCCUCUGCAACAUUGCAAGAAGUGCUGGGGUACUCUACUCAGAUCACACACAACAGUUUCACUGUCACCACCAAAAAUAUUAUCAUGGUGAAUAAAAUAAUGACCAAAUUUUGCAAUGCAGUCUGCAAGCUUUCAAGUUGCACAGAACUAUUCUUCAGGCUGGAUGUUAAAAACAAUUCUUAUAUCUAGUUUCAAAAGAGUUGGAAAUGUUAUGAUCCCUAUGAAUGCAUAACCAGAGCACCUGUGAGCAAGAGGGAGGUACCAACAGACUCAAUGUAACCUGCAGAUAUGUUGGUUUCACAAACAUCUGGAGGAAAAAAUCCUGGAGGCCAAAAAAGCAAAACAAAACCCAGACUGCCCCACUGUAACUUAAUGGAGCAGAAUGUUCAUGGGCUGAGAGAACACUUAAAAGACAACCAGGUAGAAGGAGCUCGUGGAGCUCAGUGGCAAGGAUAGGAGAAGGAGGGCUUGAACCAAAAGAGCAAGAAGUUUCUCAGCUUGAAGAAUACUCCUUCAAGACAGUCACAACAGGAUGAAAAGGAGCUAGGAUUGAGCACCAUUCCUCACCACAAGGAACCCCCAGAAAACAUAAAAUAUAAAAUUUGUAUAUGAAGUAAGACCCAAGUUACAGCAGGGCCUCCUAACUUUGUUGCUAACUGUUGUUUUUUCAUCAUGCUCAGCCAUAAGCUCAGGUAAUACAUGCACACUGCAGGUGGGGGGCUGGUAUCCAUUUUGUUGUGGGGCCAUUCUUGUAAAUAAAUACAAAGGAGGGGAAGGAGAUAUUUUUGACAUAGUGUUCACUUAGAAAAAUGUUUGUUUUUAGUUAUUAAAAUAUUAUUUAUUAAUAACAACAAUAAAAUAGUGCUAUAAAGUAAAUUAUAAUAAAAAGUGUUUGAUAGCACAGUGUGUGCUUUCAUGUUUCACAAAAGUCUCCAGCUAAAUAAUAAUAAUAAUAAUAAUAAUAAUAAUAAUAAGAAGAAGAAGAAGAAGAAGAAGAAGAAGGCAAUGGCUUAAGAAUGGCAACUUGAAGAAAGAAACAGAGGGUUUAAUACUGGCUGCAGAAGAACAGGCACUAAGAAUAAAUGCAAUAAGAGCUAAAGUCGAAAAAUCCACAACAAACAGCAAGUGCCGCCUUUGUAAAGAAGCAGAUGAAACAGUGGACCACCUAAUCAGCUGUUGUAAAAAGAUUGCACAGACUGACUACAAACAAAGGCAUGACAAGGUAGCAGGAAUGAUACACUGGAACAUCUGCAAAAAAUACAAGCUACCUGUAGCCAAAAAUUGGUGGGACCAUAAAAUUGAAAAAGUUGAAGAAAAUGAAGAUGUAAAAAUAUUAUGGGACUUCCGACUACAAACAAACAUCUGCCACACAAUACACCAGAUAUAAUUGUAGUUGAGAAGAAAGAAAAACAAGUGAAAAUAAUCGGCAUAGCAAUACCAGGGGAUAGCAGAAUAGAAGAAAAAGAAAUAGAAAAAAAAUCACCAAAUACAAAGAUCUACAAAUUGAAAUUGAAAGGCUGUGGCAGAAAAAGACCAAAAUAAUCCCAGUGGUAAUUGGCGCCCUGGGUGCAGUUCCAAAAGACCUUGAAGAGCACCUCAACACCAUAGGGGUCACAAAAAUCACCAUCAGCCAAUUACAAAAAGCAACUUUAUUGGUAACAGCCUAUAUUCUGCGACGAUAUCUAUAACAACAGCAACAACAUUGACAAUAAAAUUCAGCCAUCCCAGGUCCUUGGGAAGGACUCGAUGUCUGGGUAAAACAAACCAGUCAAUAACACCUGUCUGACUGUGUAAAUAAAUAAAUAAAUAAAUAACUAUCAUCCCAGGUCCUUGGGAAGGACUUGAUGUCUGGAUAAAACAAACCAGUCAAUAACACCUGUCUGACUGUGUAAGCAAGAAAUAAUAAUAUAAUAUUUAGCUGAAGAAGACUUUUGUGGAACUUGACAGCACACAAAAUGCAUUCUGAUCAUUGGUUAAUCCUAAUAAAAUAUUUCAAGGGAAAUGGCAAAUAUAUAAAAUAUCCAACCUGAACAAUAGUUCUGUGCAACCUGAAAGUUUCCAGGUUGUAUUGUGAAUUCUAGUGGUUGGUUGUAAAAACAAACAAACAACAAAAAACCUUUAAAGUAUUUGCUCCUUCUCUCAACAAGUAAGUGUUUAGCUGCUCAUGCAGUCAAGGUGGCCCAGUGAUUAACUAUCCACUUUUGAAGAGACACGCCUUGCCGAGACAUAGGAACAUAGGACGUAGUCUUACUUGCCUUAUAACAAGCCAGACCAUUCGAUCAUCUAACUCUGAAUUGUCUACACUGACUAGGGAUGUGCAUGGAACCAGGUGCGG